GAGGAACUCUUGCAACAUUGAAGGGCUUCUCCAGCAGAGGGCUAAGAGUGUUACCAGAAUUUAGAGUUGGGGUCUUUGUGUUUUCUGACCAAAUCUCAGAAUUCCCAAAUUCACCAUGCUGUGCAGGGAAGUACAGGCCUCUCAUUUUUGAACUUUGGAAAAUCACAAAAGAGCUCAUGGCUGAAGUGUGAAGUUCUUGUGACUGCUCUAGACACGAGCAGCAGUGGAACAUGUGAACUGUUAACUCAGAGAGUGACAGAAACCCUGGGAUCUUUCUCAGAAUCCUUUGGCUACAUUAACACAAAUGACACCCUUGAGCACAUAAUUUUUCCAAUCUACUUGCAAGAAAGUUGCUGGAAGUCUCACUGUCCCUUGGUGCCACUUUGUACUGAAAACUUCACCUUUGCUUUAACAUCUCAGGCAGGGGUGACCGUUUCUGAGCUGCCAUUGCAGGUGAAAAGAUGUCUCCAACCUGCUUUCUGCUUCCCCAGAAGCUGUUCUCUCAAGGUUGCAGAUAAAUGAGCUGGUGUUUCUGCAGAUCAGCGUAACUGGGAGAUGGUUUCAUAAGCCGGGGCUUCAUCCCACCCCACAUUUGAUGGAAGAGGUUGUGUCUACAACCACCCAGACACACACACUGCUCCUCGCCUGGCUACAGUGCAGGAUGAGUCCAGCGAGCAGCUUAGUCUCUGGAUCCUGGGAAAUGCAGAGAGCUUGACAGCAUCUUCAGCAGAGCGUGGGAGCUCCCAUCACCCUGUGCUCUGGAGAUGUGUGCUGGAUGCUGAUCAGAAGCCUGGAGGAGAGAGAAUAAAUAGGUGAAGCAUGGUGAAGGCACACACAGAUAAGGAAUGAAAUUGCAUUGAGGAUUGUGUUAGCAUUUACACAGCGCAGCUUACCCCUAGAGCAACUGGGCAUUUGGUCAUGUGUAGGUGCACCCAGUCCUGCUCUAACGUGGCCAUGGUGCCACUGAUUUUAUUUUGCUUUAAGUUGUUAGGAAGUAAAAUUAUUACAGACACUUUAGGAACCAGAUCCUAAUCCUGGUUAAAUCUAGCCUAGCAUAUGAUUUCUGAAUAGAAUGUGUAUUAUGUGGGUUAUUGGUAAGGUCCUAUGUUGUCCUUAUGUGCCACUUUUCACAAGAGUUUUUGAUUUAAUCCACCUUAGUUAUGAAAGGUAAGGAAAAAGAUAAGAAACAUAAAAGUAUCCGCUUUCACUGUUGACUCUCUCCUUGAUGAUGCCAGGUGGUAAUUUUCUUGCCAAUGACAUUCGGAACUGGGACUUUAGGACGGGAAGAACCAGCUCCAGAAUUAUGUCCCAGGGCAUCAGGUGGUACACACCUACAAGGGGUGAAGCUGGUGCUGCUGGCCUGGCAUGCAGGAGGCAGAUGCAGGCAGGAUGAGCAGCUGGAGAACCAGAUACUGAACUGGUUGUUAUAGAAGCUGCAGGAGAGAGGGGUGUCACUCUGUGCUGUUAAUCACACCCUUCCUGGUCUCUGUCCCUUACAGGUGACUUUACAGCCUCAUGUCUUGGCUUCUGACUGAGAGAAACCAUGUUCUCAAAGUCUUCUCUGGGGCUCUGGUGACCCCAUUGCUUGGGAGAUUAUUCUGAAUUUAUGGUUUAUUUUCUCAGGCAAUGCAGGGGAAUAAGGUGAAUUAUCUGCUGCCUAAAAGGGACCUGGAGUGCACAAUCACAAGGGGAAGAGAUGGGCCUGAGAUUUCAGCUUUAACAAGUCGAGACAAAUGAGGCCACGCACUGCUUAACCCAAGGCAACUGUUCCAAUGUGUCUGCGGGGGACACGAACCAUGGUGGAGGGGCUGUUUAGGAUGUGAUUGAAGAGAUUGAAAACCUAGAAUGGCAGGAGAACAGAAACCAUCGUGCAAUCUUCUAGAGCAGUUUAUUUUACUAGCCAAAGGUACAAGUGGCUCAGCUCUGACUGCUCUUAUAAAUCAAGUGCUGGAGGCUCCUGGGGUUUAUGUCUUCGGAGAGCUAUUGGAGUUGAAAAAUGUGCAAGAGCUUGCUGAAGGGUCUCAUGCUGCUUAUUUCCAGUUGUUGAGCCUGUUUGCGUAUGGAACGUACCCAGACUAUGUAGCAAACAAAGAUAACCUGCCUGAAUUAACAGUGACUCAGAAAAACAAGCUGAAACACUUGACGAUUGUAAGCCUGGCUUCCAGAAUGAAGUGCAUUCCCUAUUCUGUGUUGCUGAAGGACCUGGAUAUGAGGAAUCUGAGGGAGUUGGAAGAUCUGAUUAUUGAAGCAGUUUAUACAGAUAUUAUCCAGGGGAAAUUGGAUCAACGAAACCAGGUGCUAGAGGUGGACUUUUGUAUCGGCAGAGACAUUCAGAAGAAGGACAUCAGUAACAUUGUCAAAACACUCCAGGAAUGGUGUGAAUGUUGUGAAGCGGUUCUUUUAGGAAUUGAGCAGCAAGUACUUAGAGCCAACCAAUACAAAGAGAACCAUCACCGAACUCAACAGCAGGUAGAGAUGGAGCUGUUAGAGAGCACCAGUUCCUACAGGAUCACCUGCCAGCUGUGAUGCUAUUCCUUUUACAUCAUGACUGUGAGAUGACACCUCUGCUUGCUGGCAGACAAGCCAGGUGGGUAGGCAUUGCUCCUCGGAGCUGUUCUGCAUCUAGGGAGGCACAGGCUCUUGCCUGUUUUAGCGUAAUGGAAAUCAAGGACAAAGGACAGUGUUAUAAAUAGGGGGCAAAGCGCAGAGCUGUGUCUAUUCCAGCUCUGCUACAGCUGCAGAAAGAAACCUUGGGCAAGUCAGCUCCUCUGCAGCUGCGUUUCCCAGGACAGCCUUUUGUGUGCUGACUUUGUGACAGAGGUUUGGAAAGUGCUUUGGUAUCCUGGCUGGGCAGAGGUUCAUUGCUGAUGGAAUUGAAGAAGAUGCAUGUGUACGGGGAGGGGGGGACUCUUAAAGCUUUUUAAGCUUUUCCAGAAGCCAUCAUCCUCCUGUGUACCAUACCCUUCUUUUCCCCUGACACAAAUAAGGUGGUCCACUAUGGGAAUAUCAGCCUGGAGUAUUAUGGGUAAUAUGCCAGGUUAAUUAUGGAGGGGGCAGGAAAAAUAGCCUGUGUCGUUUUCAACAAUAUCAAAGGGAUGCUACCUAAUGAUUUUCCUAUUAGCUCUUUUCCCAGCCUGCCAGAGUCACUGCAGAAGUGUCAUUUACAAAGGCAGUUUGCAACUCAUUACCCUGGAUUUUCACUGUAGUUCUGCUCCAGAGAGCAUGGGCUUUUGCUGUGUGCCCCAACCUAAUGAAUUGCCUGAUUCGGUUAGUGCUGCCAUCCCUUCUGACAAGGUUAGUCGCUGACUGACAGGAAGGGGCCUGAAUUCAAUUCCCUUCUUGUUUUCGACUCACGCUUGUGUCAAGCGCAGGCUCCCUCUGGAAGCUGCUCUGUUAUCCCUUCCCUUUGUUUUUCUGCAUUCUGAGGGAAGCAGCCCAUGCUUGGAGAAGUCCUAGAGCAAGUGGCAGGGGCAUGUGUGCUGCUGCCCCCGGCAGUCCCUGCUCAAUGCCUCAAGUCCCUUUCCAGCUGGAAAAUUCCACUGUUCUCCUGCUCUGGGGCUCUGAGAUUUUCUUUUUCUUCAUUGAUUUGGGAUUUCCUGUCACCUGAGCUGGGCUUUGUAACCCUUCAGCAAUAAAUACCUUGGAAAAGUUGCAUUAAUGGUACCAGGGAAGAACAUGCAGUGCAGGCUGGGGGAACCAAAUAGACUUCCCACACAUUAGAGGGCAACUUUGUCCCUGUUGUGAGAGCUCCAAGGUCUGCUCUGGCCUGUUUGGGCUUUGCAAGGCACUUGUUCAACAGCUCUUGCCCUUUUUCACUGGAGAGCAGCGUGCUUUUUCAGGCUGAGGGCCUAUGGCUCAUCUCAUGGUAGGAAUAGCUUCUGGAGAAGGGAAAUCAAGGCUGUUCCCAUGUCGUGUCACAAGUGCUCCCACUUGGAAGCUGCAUGUGGCUACUGCUUAUUCAGCUGGUAGUGCAGGAAACUUGUAGGUCCUGUGAGUGCUAGUUUGACCUGAGUGUGGACAGAGGAGCCUGGGACUCCUGCCACCCUUGCUCCCAGGUGUGUGUGUACACCUCUGCUAAAGGCUGUUCUCUGAGCAUGCUGCAGAGAUGUCAGAUGCCACCCCCCUGAGGCUGCAGAUUUCAUCCAGGACAGCUCUUGCUGUUCAGUUAAUGCUUUUUCCGGGCUGAGAUGUGGGAAAGGGGUUUUCCAGUGCGGGCCUUAUAUCCUUUUACUGGGUAUUGUGAGGAUUUGACCUAGCUGGCCCGCAAGGGAGGCAGUGAUGUGAGAUCAAUUUGUUUCUACUGCACGUGAUGCCUCCUCCCCUACUAAUUAGAUUCCUGUGGCCCCUCUGUUUCCUGCUGGCCUCAUUUCCUACUGAGUCCCUGUCAGGGAGACCCAGUUGUGGCUUUAUCAGGUGCUUGCUGUGCUCUAAUGAACCAUUUCCAUGUCCUGUUCUGGCCUGUCCACCAAACCGAGCAAGGUGCUUGUCAGCACUCUGAAAACUGAUCUCUACUCGCAAUGCCAGUCUCUGCCCGCCAGACCCACCAGUCUGGCUGUGCCACAUGGGUGCUAAGGUUGAGUGGAUCUGGAAGUUUUCCCAAGUGCUCUUUCACCCCCAAGUGCUACCUCCUCUGUUGCACAUAAGCUCACACCCCAACGUGGGCACGACGUUCCUGUCCUGCAGGUGGGAAACCAGCGUGCUGAGGGACAGGGUGACUUAUCCCUGGUCAGAGCAGAAGCAGUAAGGCAAGGAGCCAAGCUGUUAUCCCCUCCCUCUGCACAGGGAGCUCUCGCUCUCAUCGUUCUCCUUCUGCCAAACUAGUGUCCUUUUGCAAUGCAGCUUUGUCCUUUUCCUUGGGCUUGCUCUUUUCCAGGAAGCCCAGUGAAGGAAGGAACCUGUGCUGUGGGGCUGCGCUUUUCCCCUCGGACUACGCUGCAGAGGAGAAACGGGAAUCCAGACCGUGUGCGACCCCAGACUGGGAUCUCUGGGAUCUCCCCCAACCUGAUCUCAGGUUGCACCUCACUUAGGUGGUCAAAUUUUGUGGAUUGAAUUCCUGAGACUGAGUUCCCUCUGCUCAGUUGAGGAGAGGCCCCCUGUCACCAGGCAGAUGCUUUCAUUCCAGCUCUGGCUUUGCAGCAAAAAGCCAAAACUGGGUGGGAAAUUGGUCCUGUCUUGGUCCAGCCUGGUACUCUGCUGUGGUCACUGCUUCACGCUCAAGGACCAGGACCCUGAGGGGGACCCACAGUACCAUCCCCUUUCACCACUCUUCAGAUCUGGUGUGCAAGGUCUGUGCAGGAGGUGAUUUCCUUAUUGUCCCUUAGGUUUGCUGGGUGACAGCAGACAGUCCCCUCUGAUGGACAUCUCUUUAGGAGCUCCUGGUACAGCCUCUCCUUCCCUUUAAAGGUGUGUGGAGCCAGUAGGGUGGUUGUAUUUGCCUCACAGAGCUCUGACAAUGGGUUGUUACCUACAGACACUUCUGGAGGGCUCAAACUGACCCAAGACAGGGCACAAGUUGCCAGUGCCCCAUCCUGCCUCCAUCCUUCCCAGCCCGACCUCCCAGGGUCUUGAUUUUCUUCCCCAUAGGCAACAUCUGACAUGGUCCAUCAGCUGCUGCUCCCCGUCCAGCUGGACUCAGUGGGCACUGCGAGGUGGGUACCUGUCUCUGACAGAGGCUUUGAUUGUACGAGGCUGCAGAUGUCACAUGUGUGCUCCUAACCUGAUGAUUGAGCUCUCGGGAUGAAUCCCCUUGUUCUGUAAACCUAAUGUUCUCUAAUAGUUGGGGAGAGUCUGGCUGGAGGUUUCUAUGGUUUCCCGGUGGUUGCUAAGGAAAAGGAUCUCUCUGCCUCUAGGUCUUGGUGACUUUCUUUUUGCCCUGUCCUAGGCACCAGAGCCCAGCAGAACAUAAUGCUCGUUGUUUCCCAGCCCACUACAAUGGUCAGGGCAUAAUUUGUGACUCCCGUCACGGCUGGGCUGGGUGCCUGCCACUCUUUUUUUUCUAAGGCGUCUUUGAAGAACGAGACCAAAGAGCCUUCAUGCAGGAGUUUGUGUGUUUGCUGUGCUCCCCGCCCCCUCGCUUGCUGUUUCCUUUAGAGCUCCGAGUCAUUUUAACGAUUUAUUUCAUGCACUUUACAUAGCAAGAAGCUGUAGCAACAGCUGUGUCUGUGAAUCCUUACCAGGCAGCCCUCGGUAUAUUUUAGUCUGUCUAUGUAUUGUCUCAGGCACAGUUAAAUAAAUCUCUGCUGGAGGAAGGGACUUUACAGCUUAGCAGCAAAGGUUUGGCGAAUGGGAAUAUCGACAAGAUACUUAGUGAGCUGCUGGAUCCUAAAUAACAGCGCCUCCGGCAUAAAGCUCUGCUCCCACUAGCGCAGCUGGGGGCCGGAUCCAGCGCUGUCUCUUUGUUGCUGUCAGCGGGGACCGCGUCUCCCUACGGCGCCCCGUGACAGAGCUAUAGCUACAGGAUGAGAUUUGGACCCAAACCUGCAGACUGGGAAGCGGUUAAAGAGUCCAGGCCGAAUGCUGCUCCUGUCACUCUGCUCUCAAUCCGGGUCUAGGCCAUUGAAGGUGGUGGGCUUGUUUCCACCGGUGCUGCUCAGGGUCCGGGCGAUGGGCGGGUUGCCUGAGGCUGUGUGCUUUCGCAGGGAGCUCAGCUGGGUUCUGCUGAGGCUUGCGGCUGCACGCAGCACCAGGCAGGAUUUGGUCCAUCGGAGCAUCACAGGAUUUGGGCGCAAGUUUACUUUUACAUAGGGGAUCAAAGCUGGCCUUUCUCUCGCUCCUGACUUUUCUAAAACAUCUGAACAAUUUCUUCUUUAACUCUAUUAAAAUCAAUCACUCUUGACAUAGAAAUUGUGAAUUUGAUAAAUAAAGACAGGUUACAAAAUGGCACAUGGAAUGAUUUUUUUUUUUAAAGUUUUUCAACUAUUUAGGACAAAAAAUGUUACAAUGCUUGACUUUUCAUUUAGUUACAUAAAUAAUUUUUUUAUAAAUAUCUCUUUAUAAACAAUAUAUAAAUAGCUUUACAACAUAAAUACAUUUAUGCAUGACAUGAAUUUACAAACAGCAACGUUAUACAGCUGGCUUCAUCAGUCUCUUGGAAAAGCACUGUCCCUUGUCUCGGUGAGUGUUUGUAUAUAUAAUAUAUAUAAGAUAGAGAGCACUUUUUAAAAAAAUAACAAAACCAAAACAGCUGGUGCCAUGACUCCUCGUACCAAAAAGAAAAACACAGCCACAUAUUUUGUCCAUUCCAGGGGGGGUCUCUGCUCUUCUAGGCGUUGCCUGGGGGAUGGCCCUGCCUGGCCACGGUAGGAGAAAAUGGACUACAGUUUCAAAGCCCUCCUGGGGUCCCUCAGUAGC